CAAUAACAUAAACACGUUGCCACAAAACAGAACGCCAUUGUGUGAAAAUGACUUCCAUAAUCGCCAAUUGUGUCAAAGGGUUCUUUGGUUAGUUGAAAUGUACCCCGCGAAGGUCUCAAAGUUACACUUGGAGGUCCUUCCUGUCAUUGUGGCCAGUGCGAUAUAACGACCUUGCCCCUAAACUACCCCAGGUUCCAGCUUUGAUGACAGGAAACAUGUGAAUCAACUUGGUUCACUCACUCUUGUCCAAAAUGGUUCCUAAUGUAUUGGGGAUUUUGAGCCUGAAGACGAAUUUUGGUUUGCAUUUCGGUUCGGUGCUCAUUUGCCUAUUGAUCGGACGUUGUAACGGGUCGGUUUGGAACAGAUUUUGAAGAGAAGUAAUUCGAUCGCCUUGGGAUAAUUGGCAGUAACAAAUAGCCGCUAAAUUCCCGAUCAUUUUGAGGUGUCAUCUUCAAAGUAUUUAGAACAUGCUUGUGUUUCAGUCAGAUGGUGGAUUGAUGGUAUUCCAAAGGGACCGUAACUUCAUUUUCGGAAGAUUUCAAUCAGGGUUGCCGUUUCGUUCAGGCCCCGCAUUUUCUGCAUAACAAACGACGCUCACGAAGUAAUGAAAAAUGCCAGGACGAAGGCGAAUACUAAAAAGCCCUGAUUGCGACCAUUUGAGAUCCUUGUCAAAGUCGGCGAAUGUUAUAAAUGAUGGGCAAAAAGCCAAUGGCCAAGAUAAAUACCUAAUUCAAAUAGGUGCAUAUAUAUUCAAGUGCAACAACUUGGGUCAUUAUCAUGGCCCUGAGACCGAAGACAGGGAGAUAAAUGAAGCCCUUUGCAUACAUUUACAAUGUGUCUGAUCAGUGUUGCCAAGCAACCACAACUUGAGGCCGCCUGAAAGGCGAUCUCCGUAGGUAUUCCAAUAAUUCGUUGUCCUUAUUUGAAAUAGUACCAACUCCCAAGUCACUAACAAGCGUGUAAUUCAAAGUGGCUUCCUCUGGAGGGAACCUGUGAUGGUUGGAAUGCUCUUUGGUUGCACUAGGGUUAAUUGGCAGGUUGGACAAUAGCCAUCAUUCGCCGAAUGAAUGGCUCAAAUGGGAUAUAAAUCCGGAGCCGUUGCAGCAUCCUCAUUCAACAGCCAACAAAACCCCCAUUCAAAACGAGGGAAGGAUCAACACUACUAACCAUAGAAAACCAGCCUGUUCGAUGUUCAUUAUGACACAUGAUUUGCCCAGGUUCUGCUGGACCCUACAUUAUACCGUAAAUGUCGUGGCUAUGGUCAAACGUUUGUCGGGCUUCUUCGGUGAAAGAGACUAUAGAGGUCUUAUAAAUAACUGGUUGUUCAAUCCUAUUGGAAGUCACCCAAAACGAGGAUCUACUUCCGCACCAAAUUCGAUCGAACAUAAAAUAUUUUAUUACUUAAGUCCCACUUAUCUUCAAUCAAAUGCUGUGCCGCAUCUUCGUCCUGAUUGAAUUUUCCAUAACCUGUUUUAGGCACUCGUAACAUUCAGUCUUGAGUUGACUUUUGUAUUUACUUAUGUUAAGAUACAUUAAAUCAAACUUCGUUUUAAUGUUACGA